ACUCGUGGCGAAAAGCUCAGUAACACGUGGCCAAACUACCCUACAGAGAACGAUAACCUCGGGAAACUGAGGCUAAUAGUUCAUACGGGAGUCAUGCUGGAAUGCCGACUCCCCGAAACGCUCAGGCGCUGUAGGAUGUGGCUGCGGCCGAUUAGGUAGACGGUGGGGUAACGGCCCACCGUGCCGAUAAUCGGUACGGGUUGUGAGAGCAAGAGCCCGGAGACGGAAUCUGAGACAAGAUUCCGGGCCCUACGGGGCGCAGCAGGCGCGAAACCUUUACACUGCACGAAAGUGCGAUAAGGGGACCCCAAGUGCGAGGGCAUAUAGUCCUCGCUUUUCACGACUGUAAGGCGGUCGUGGAAUAAGAGCUGGGCAAGACCGGUGCCAGCCGCCGCGGUAAUACCGGCAGCUCAAGUGAUGACCGAUAUUAUUGGGCCUAAAGCGUCCGUAGCCGGCCACGAAGGUUCAUCGGGAAAUCCGCCAGCUCAACUGGCGGGCGUCCGGUGAAAACCACGUGGCUUGGGACCGGAAGGCUCGAGGGGUACGUCCGGGGUAGGAGUGAAAUCCUGUAAUCCUGGACGGACCACCGAUGGCGAAAGCACCUCGAGAAGACGGAUCCGACGGUGAGGGACGAAAGCUAGGGUCUCGAACCGGAUUAGAUACCCGGGUAGUCCUAGCUGUAAACGAUGCUCGCUAGGUGUGACACAGGCUACGAGCCUGUGUUGUGCCGUAGGGAAGCCGAGAAGCGAGCCGCCUGGGAAGUACGUCCGCAAGGAUGAAACUUAAAGGAAUUGGCGGGGGAGCACUACAACCGGAGGAGC
rnacentral:rRNA from 1 species